UGACGCAAAAGGAAACCGCCUUAGCGACGUCCCCUCCUCUUGACGUCAGCCAAACCUGGCCUUACAACCCGCGCUUGAAUGGCUGGCGCCAAGUGCCGAAUCAAAGCUCCUGUAUCUGACUGGUUCGCAGAACCGCUCAUCCCAGACCGACACCGCCUUACUGACAAGAGCUACAUCUUGGGUUGAACAGCAGCAUGAACAAGGAUAUAGCCUGGCCAACCCUGCUCGAUACUCUGGUCUCUGAAGACAAGUACACUCUCUGUAUGAUUGUCAUUCUUUUAUUGUAACUUCCCUUAAUAUUGGCAGGCUGUAAACAGAAGUGUCUGGGCAGCAGUGGUAGGAGAAAUGAAAUCUUCAAAUACAUCUAGAAAACAAAUUCCAAGUGAAGAUAAAAAUUUAAAACAUUCUCAUAUAACCUAAUUUACAAACGAUAUUCUGUAAAUAAAACCAGGCAUUUUAAAAAAUUGCUACAUCUUCACAUAAACGAAAUAUGAAAAUGAACCCAGAUAUCUAUAUAACUUUGCAAAGCCUAAUUCCAUUUCAUUAGCAAAUUAAAUGCUAACUAAUCAAUUUUUAAUGAUUUUCUUUCAUACAAAAAACUACUUAUGGGAGAAUUUUCACAACAGGUUCAUAAAAGUCCAAGAAUUCUGGAAGAUUUGGAGGAAGAAGGACAUAAUCCCAAUAUUAGCAAAAUCACAGCUCUUUAGUUUCGUGUAGACUCCGGGUUCCAGUCUGUAUUUUCUCAAGUCCCAUAUAUAAGAUUACUGACACAGGAUCCAAGUGUGUAUUUAGAUGCUUAGUGUUAAAGGCGUAGUAUUAAAUAUCUAACAGUUUUUGCCUAUGCCAUAGGAACAGCCAAUUAAUAAUUAUAACUUAAUAAUAACUGUUGCAUUUGUGUCAGCUAAAAAUAAAGAUUAUCAUUAUCAAAAUGCCAUUAUAAGUAAAUAAUACCAAAAGGGUCUACACAAAGGCCAUAAUACAGUAGAACAAAGACGGUUUUUUUAAUACUAUAUCUAAGGACCCUAAAAUGGCUAUUUUUAUCUUAACUGCUGACAUAUUGUUUAAAGAAAAAUGAAAAUUCCUUACCAAACU